rnacentral:rRNA from 1 species
UACAGAGGUCUCGAGCGUUAGGCGGAAUCACUGGGCUUAAAGCGUGUGUAGGUGGAUCGUUAAGUACCUUGUGAAAUCCCACGGCUUAACCGUGGAACUGCUUGGUAUACUGGCGGUCUUGAGCCAGCUAGGGGCUACCGGAACAAAAUGGUGGAGCGGUGAAAUGCGUAGAUAUCAAUUUGGAACGCCAAUGGGUGAAAACAGGUAGCUGGGGCUGUGACUGACA